UACGGGGGGGGCAAGCGUUGUUCGGAAUCACUGGGCUUAAAGGGCGCGUAGGCGGUGCGGUAAGUCACCUGUGAAACCUCUAGGCUUAACCUAGAGCCUGCAGGCGAAACUGCCGUGCUUGAGGGUGGGAGAGGUGCGUGGAAUUCCCGGUGUAGCGGUGAAAUGCGUUGAUAUCGAGAGGAACACCUGCGGCGAAGGCGGGUUGCUGGGCUGACACUGACGCUGAUGCGCGAAAGCCAGGGGAGCGAACGGG
rnacentral:rRNA from 1 species